rnacentral:lncRNA from 1 species
GGGCUGGGGGGGGCGGUCACGUGCUGGGGCGGGGCGCAGGGAGGGAGGGAGAGGAGGGCAGGAGCGAGGACCGGCCGAGCGGUGGGUGGAGAAAACAAAGCCCAAAGCUGUCAGCUCCUGCUCCCCGCCGCCCAGCAGCACCACCAGCAGCAGCAGUAUACCAUUCCUCUAAGGAAUAGUUCAUUUCAACAACCAGUGAAAGAGUCUGGAUGCUUAAGGUAAGAGUUUACCAGUUCUGGUACUCAGAUUUCUAUAAACAUAGAUGCAGAGUGAAAAUGCCUAGCCCCUUAAUGAUUCAUAAAAAGUUUACGUUGUGCUAGAAAGUUAUUUUCUCUGCAGUCCAUUUAUAGACAACUCACAGAUGACUGAAUAAAUAUUCAAAUAAUGAAAAGUAGUUUAAUAAUGGGAAAUGGAGAUGCAAAAGACAAUUUGCAAUAUGGAGAAGGAAAGAAAGAGUCGAUUUCUGCUACACCUUAUUAGUAGUUUUGUCCUCUUACUUUUCUCUCUCUUCUUUUAACUCAAGUAAUAAUGGCAAUAUUUUGACAAGCAAAGAAACAGCAUUGGAGGUUUUAACCCAGUAUCUAUAACAUAGACUACAAUCUAAAAAGAAAAGCAUAUAGAAUUUAGGAUUCAUUCUUAAAUCUGAUUGUCUAGACUUCCAAAGGACUCCUGCACUGAGCGCUGGAAGAAGCAUCUGUUAGGCCGGGAACAAAGAAACAAUUAG